rnacentral:rRNA from 1 species
UACGUAGGGGGCUAGCGUUGUCCGGAUUUAUUGGGCGUAAAGAGCGUGUAGGCGGCCAGGUAGGUCUGGUGUGAAAACUCGAGGCUUAACCUCGAGAUGUCAUCGGAAACCAUCUGGCUAGAGUCCGGAAGAGGAAAGUGGAAUUCCUGGUGUAGCGGUGAAAUGCGCAGAUAUCAGGAAGAACACCCGUGGCGAAGGCGGCUUUCUGGGACGGUACUGACGCUGAGACGCGAAAGCGUGGGGAGCGAACAGG